rnacentral:rRNA from 1 species
CUUUACUGCAACUUGACGUUGGAACUUGGCGGUAUUUGUGUAGGAUAGGUGGGAGACUUUGAAGCAGGGCCGCCAGGUCUUGCGGAGUCGUCGUUGAAAUACCACCCUGGUGCUGACGGGUUUCUAACCGUGUCCGUAAGCCGGACAUGAGACAGCGUCUGGUGGGCAGUUUGACUGGGGCGGUCGCCUCCUAAAAGGUAACGGAGGCAUUCAAAGGUCCCCUCAGCGUGGUCGGUAAUCACGCGCAGAGUGCAAACGCAUAAGGGGGCUUAACUGCGAGACCGACAGGUCGAGCAGGUACGAAAGUAGGAGUUAGUGUUCCCGCGGUUUAGCGUGGAAUUGCCGUUGCUCAAUGGAUAAAAGGUA